rnacentral:rRNA from 1 species
CCAAACUGUUGCCUCGGCGGGAUCUCUGCCCCGGGUGCGUCGCAGCCCCGGACCAAGGCGCCCGCCGGAGGACCAACCAAAACUCUUAUUGUAUACCCCCUCGCGGGUUUUUUACUAUCUGAGCCAUCUCGGCGCCCCUCGUGGGCGUUUCGAAAAUGAAUCAAAACUUUCAACAACGGAUCUCUUGGUUCUGGCAUCGAUGAAGAACGCAGCGAAAUGCGAUAAGUAAUGUGAAUUGCAGAAUUCAGUGAAUCAUCGAAUCUUUGAACGCACAUUGCGCCCGCCAGUAUUCUGGCGGGCAUGCCUGUCCGAGCGUCAUUUCAACCCUCGAACCCCUCCGGGGGGUCGGCGUUGGGGAUCGGCCCUUUACGGGGCCGGCCCCGAAAUACAGUGGCGGUCUCGCCGCAGCCUCUCCUGCGCAGUAGUUUGCACACUCGCAUCGGGAGCGCGGCGCGUCCAAUGCCGUAAAACACCCAACUUUCUGAAAUGUUGACCUCGGAUCAGGUAGGAAUACCCGCUGAACUUAAGCAUAUCAAUAAGCCGGAGGAA